UUAAGGAAUUAAGUCGUGCGUCUAAUAACCGGAGAGGGAACCCACU
rnacentral:misc_RNA from 1 species